rnacentral:lncRNA from 1 species
CCUGCUAUCGUCUCAAAAAUACUUACAGCAUAUGUGCUAGUGCUCAACACUACGUGAGAGAGUGCCCGCAAAAUUAGAAUCAGGCCAGAUCUGCUAUCCAGGGUAGAUCGUACAAAUCACCCAGCAAGAUGAUGAAGUCAAUCCAAAUGUGAUACAUGAUACGUACAUUAUCUGUAAUUACCUUGCACAUGUUUUGAUCGAUACUAGUGCUUCACAUUCAUUUGUCUCACAUAUGUUUACAAAAAAAUUUUAAUGUAUUACCUGAAAAACUUGUUUAUGUAUUUUUU